rnacentral:rRNA from 1 species
GACGAACGCUGGCGGCGUGCCUAAUACAUGCAAGUUGAGCGAUGAAGCUUGGUGCUUGCACCAAUUUGAAGAGCAGCGAACGGGUGAGUAACGCGUGGGGAAUCUGCCUUUGAGCGGGGGACAACAUUUGGAAACGAAUGCUAAUACCGCAUAACAACUUUAAACAUAAGUUUUAAGGUUGAAAGAUGCAAUUGCAUCACUCAAAGAUGAUCCCGCGUUGUAUUAGCUAGUUGGUGAGGUAAAGGCUCACCAAGGCGAUGAUACAUAGCCGACCUGAGAGGGUGAUCGGCCACAUUGGGACUGAGACACGGCCCAAACUCCUACGGGAGGCAGCCGUAGGGAAUCUUCGGCAAUGGACGAAAGUCUGACCGAGCAACGCCGCGUGAGUGAAGAAGGUUUUCGGAUCGUAAAACUCUGUUGGUAGAGAAGAAAGUUGGUGAGAGUGGAAAGCUCAUCAAGUGACGGUAACUACCCAGAAAGGGACGGCUAACUACGUG